GAAAUGCGAUAAGUAAUGUGAAUUGCAGAAUUCAGUGAAUCAUCGAAUCUUUGAACGCACAUUGCGCCCGCGAGUAUUCUCGCGGGCAUGCCUGUUCGAGCGUCAUUUCAACCAUCAAGCCCCCGGGCUUGUGUUGGGGACCUGCGGCUGCCCGCAGGCCCUGAAAUCCAGUGGCGGGCUCGCUGUCGCACCGAGCGUAGUAGCAUACUUCUCGCUCCGGGAGCGCGCGGCGGGCGCCCUUGCCGUAAAAACACCCCCCCACAUACCCAAAGGUUGACCUCGGAUCAGGUAGGAAUACCCGCUGAACUUAA
rnacentral:misc_RNA from 1 species